GGACUACCCGGGUUUCUAAUCCUGUUUGAUCCCCGCACUUUCGUGCAUCAGCGUCAAUUAUAGUUUUGUCAGCUGCCUUCGCAAUCGGUGUUCUAUGACAUAUCUAUGCAUUUCACCGCUACAUGUCAUAUUCCGCCAACAUCAUCUAUAUUCUAGGUCUGCAGUAUCAACGGCAGUUCGAUCGUUAAGCGACCGGCUUUCACCACUGACUUACAAACCCGCCUACGCACCCUUUAAACCCAAUGAAUCCGGAUAACGCUUGGAUCCUUCGUCUUACCGCGGCGGCUGG
rnacentral:misc_RNA from 1 species